CGGUGUUCAAGGCAAUAAUCAUGCAUAUGGGUUGCCAUAUAUACACAUCUCUACAUCUUCACUUUCCACCCUUUCUACUCAUUUUUAAAAACACAUAAUAUAUAUAAAGGAUCAAUUGAUUGAACAAAAGUUAAUUAAUUGAUAUGUAAUGUCGACGAAAGAGUUUUAUUAAUUAGUUUGUUUAUGGUUUUAUAGGAGAAGAGGGUCCAUAUGCUUUCCUCACUUUGGUCAACGAGAUCCAUAUAUGUUUCACCACAUCCCCUAAAUGAUACGAUCUUUUCAUAUCAAGAGUAGGUCUGGAAACUUU
rnacentral:lncRNA from 1 species